UGGCCAGUAGCUCAGUGGUAGAGCAAUCGGCUGUUAACCGAUUGGUCGUAGGUUCAAGUCCUACCUGGCCAGCCA
rnacentral:tRNA from 1 species